rnacentral:rRNA from 1 species
AUGGGCAUCUACUGCCUCUCUCUUACAGUUACCACUGUCCGGGAGGAGAACUCCUUUCGCCUCACCUCCGUGUAUGGCCCAACUGAGAGCAAUCAAAAAGAGAUUUUUUUCGAGGAGCUUGUGGCUCACAAGCCGGGGCAUGGAGGAAAGUGGCUUGUAAAUGGGGAUUUCAAUCAAAUUUACCGUGCAAGAGACAAGAACAAGAGGAACGUCAACCGCAAUCGUAUCAACCGGUUCCGCACCACGCUUCAUGGUUGUGAUCUACGUGAGAUUCACCUUCAAAAUUGUCGUUUCACUUGGAGUAAUGAGCGGCAAAAUCCCACCAUGAGCAAACUU